CCUACGGGAGGCAGCAGUAGGGAAUAUUGGACAAUGGGGGGAACCCUGAUCCAGCGACGCCGCGUGAGUGAAGAAGUAUUUCGGUAUGUAAAGCUCUAUCAGCAUGGAAGAAAGAAAUUGCGGUACCUGACUCAGAAGCCCCGGCUAACUACGUGCCAGCAGCCGCGUUAAUACGUAGGGGGCAAGCGUUAUCCGGAUUUACUGGGUGGAACGGGAGCGUAGACGGCGAUGCAAGUCUGAAGUGACAGGCGGGGGCCCAACCCUCGGACUGCUUUGGAAACUGGAUGGCUGGAGUGCAGGGGAGGUAAGUGGAAUUCCUAGUGUAGCGGUGAAAUGCGUAGAUAUUAGGAGGAACACCAGUGGCGAAGGCGGCUUACUGGACUGUAACUGACGUUGAGGCUCGAAAGCGUGGGGAGCAAACAGGAUUAGAUACCCUAGUAGUC
rnacentral:rRNA from 1 species